rnacentral:rRNA from 1 species
UACGUAGGGUGCAAGCGUUGUCCGGAAUUAUUGGGCGUAAAGAGCUCGUAGGCGGUUUGUUGCGUCGGCUGUGAGAUCCCGAGGCUCAACCUCGGGUCUGCAGUCGAUACGAGCAAACUAGAGUGUUGCAGGGGAGACUGGAAUUCCUGGUGUAGCGGUGAAAUGCGCAGAUAUCAGGAGGAACACCGGUGGCGAAGGCGGGUCUCUGGGCCGAUACUGACGCUGAGGAGCGAAGGCGUGGGGAGCGAACAGG